AUUGAACGCUGGCGGCAGGCCUAACACAUGCAAGUCGAGCGAGUGGCGGACGGGUGAGUAAUGUCUGGGAAACUGCCUGAUGGAGGGGGAUAACUACUGGAAACGGUAGCCAAUACCGCAUACCAUCAGAUGUGCCCAGAUGGGCUUAGCUAGUGGGUGGGGUAACGGAUCACCUAGGCGACGAUCCCGAGCUGGUCUGAGAGGAUGACCAGCCAAACUGGAACUGAGACAAGGUCCAGACUCCUACGGGAGGAAGCAGUGGGGAAUAUUGCACAAUGGGCGAAAGCCUGAUGCAGCCAUGCCGCGUGUGUGAAGAAGGCCUUCGGAUUGUAAAGUACUUUCAGCGGGGAGGCGUUACCAACAGAAGAAGCACCGGCUAACUCCGUGCCAGCAGCCGCGGUAAUAC
rnacentral:rRNA from 1 species